rnacentral:rRNA from 1 species
GCAGUCGACGCUUCUUUUUCCACCGGAGCUUGCUCCACCGGAAAAAGAGGAGUGGCGAACGGGUGAGUAACACGUGGGUAACCUGCCCAUCAGAAGGGGAUAACACUUGGAAACAGGUGCUAAUACCGUAUAACAAUCAAAACCGCAUGGUUUUGAUUUGAAAGGCGCUUUCGGGUGUCGCUGAUGGAUGGACCCGCGGUGCAUUAGCUAGUUGGUGAGGUAACGGCUCACCAAGGCCACGAUGCAUAGCCGACCUGAGAGGGUGAUCGGCCACAUUGGGACUGAGACACGGCCCAAACUCCUACGGGAGGCAGCAGUAGGGAAUCUUCGGCAAUGGACGAAAGUCUGACCGAGCAACGCCGCGUGAGUGAAGAAGGUUUUCGGAUCGUAAAACUCUGUUGUUAGAGAAGAACAAGGAUGAGAGUAACUGUUCAUCCCUUGACGGUAUCUAACCAGAAAGCCACGGCUAACUACGUGCCAGCAGCCGCGGUAAUACGUAGGUGGCAAGCGUUGUCCGGAUUUAUUGGGCGUAAAGCGAGCGCAGGCGGUUUCUUAAGUCUGAUGUGAAAGCCCCCGGCUCAACCGGGGAGGGUCAUUGGAAACUGGGAGACUUGAGUGCAGAAGAGGAGAGUGGAAUUCCAUGUGUAGCGGUGAAAUGCGUAGAUAUAUGGAGGAACACCAGUGGCGAAGGCGGCUCUCUGGUCUGUAACUGACGCUGAGGCUCGAAAGCGUGGGGAGCAAACAGGAUUAGAUACCCUGGUAGUCCACGCCGUAAACGAUGAGUGCUAAGUGUUGGAGGG